UACGGAGGAUGCAAGCGUUAUCCGGAAUGAUUGGGCGUAAAGCGUCCGCAGGUGGCUGUGUAAGUCUGCUGUCAAAGAGCGAAGCUCAACUUCGUAAAGGCAGUGGAAACUACACGGCUAGAGUGCGUUCGGGGCAGAGGGAAUUCCUGGUGUAGCGGUGAAAUGCGCAGAUAUCAGGAAGAACACCCGUGGCGAAGGCGGCUCUCUGGGACGGUACUGACGCUGAGACGCGAAAGCGUGGGGAGCGAACAGG
rnacentral:rRNA from 1 species